rnacentral:rRNA from 1 species
GACGAACGCUGGCGGCGUGCCUAAUACAUGCAAGUCGAACGCUUCUUUUUCCACCGGAGCUUGCUCCACCGGAAAAAGAGGAGUGGCGAACGGGUGAGUAACACGUGGGUAACCUGCCCAUCAGAAGGGGAUAACACUCGGAAACAGGUGCUAAUACCGUAUAACAAUCAAAACCGCAUGGUUUUGAUUUGAAAGGCGCUUUCGGGUGUCGCUGAUGGAUGGACCCGCGGUGCAUUAGCUAGUUGGUGAGGUAACGGCUCACCAAGGCCACGAUGCAUAGCCGACCUGAGAGGGUGAUCGGCCACAUUGGGACUGAGACACGGCCCAAACUCCUACGGGAGGCAGCAGUAGGGAAUCUUCGGCAAUGGACGAAAGUCUGACCGAGCAACGCCGCGUGAGUGAAGAAGGUUUUCGGAUCGUAAAACUCUGUUGUUAGAGAAGAACAAGGAUGAGAGUAACUGUUCAUCCCUUGACGGUAUCUAACCAGAAAGCCACGGCUAACUACGUGCCAGCAGCCGCGGUAAUACGUAGGUGGCAAGCGUUGUCCGGAUUUAUUGGGCGUAAAGCGAGCGCGGGCGGUUUCUUAAGUCUGAUGUGAAAGCCCCCGGCUCAACCGGGGAGGGUCAUUGGAAACUGGGAGACUUGAGUGCAGAAGAGGAGAGUGGAAUUCCAUGUGUAGCGGUGAAAUGCGUAGAUAUAUGGAGGAACACCAGUGGCGAAGGCGGCUCUCUGGUCUGUAACUGACGCUGAGGCUCGAAAGCGUGGGGAGCAAACAGG